rnacentral:rRNA from 1 species
AGAGGGUGACCGGCCACACUGGGACUGAGACACGGCCCAGACUCCUACGGGAGGCAGCAGUGGGGAAUAUUGCACAAUGGGCGAAAGCCUGAUGCAGCAACGCCGCGUGAGGGACGACGGCCUUCGGGUUGUGAACCUCUUUUAGCAAGGAAGAAGCGAAAGUGACGGUACUUGCAGAAAAAGCGCCGGCUAACUACGUGCCAGCAGCCGCGGUAAUACGUAGGGCGCAAGCGUUAUCCGGAAUUAUUGGGCGUAAAGAGCUCGUAGGCGGUUUGUCGCGUCUGCUGUGAAAACCCGAGGCUCAACCUCGGGCCUGCAGUGGGUACGGGCAGACUAGAGUGCGGUAGGGGAGAUUGGAACUCCUGGUGUAGCGGUGGAAUGCGCAGAUAUCAGGAAGAACACCGAUGGCGAAGGCAGAUCUCUGGGCCGUAACUGACGCUGAGGAGCGAAAGGGUGGGGAGCAAACAGGCUUAGAUACCCUGGUAGUCCACCCCGUAAACGUUGGGAACUAGUUGUGGGGUCCAUUCCACGGAUUCCGUGACGCAGCUAACGCAUUAAGUUCCCCGCCUG